GGUUGGAGAGGAAUGGGGAGCCAGACAUUCAUCCCGGUUACUUUUGGUUACAGGACGUGGCGGCUGGUCGGAUAAAGGGGAGCUGCUGGGAAGGGUUCGACCCCAGACCUGGGCAGUGAAGGUAUAGCUGGCAGCAGUGGGCAGGAGGCUGGGGGACCAUUGGCGACCCCAGGUGGAAAGAGCUCUUAGAGAGAAGAAAGAAGAGGUGCAGGGUUGCCAGUAAAGACUGAGGCCGCUGCCUCCAGGGAGGUGAUAGGAGUCCUUGGAGACAGUGGCAGAGACCAUGGGAUCCAGCAAGAACAGAAGCAUUCUAGGCUGGGGUCAAACAGGGCAAGAUGGGGUCACAAGACACAGAUGGGUCCCCAGCCGCCACAACAUCCCACCCACCGUAAUUCACUUAGAAGAAGGUUCAAGAGUGGCUCUGGCAAAGUCCCAAGUUUGCCAGAGCCUCAAUAACUGGAGAAUGGAAAAGAAGGGCAGUGCAGGGUGUCACCAGAAGGGGAGUGGGGGCUGCAGGUAUCGGACUCCAGAGGGAUUUUACAGCAAGGAGGCUGCAGUGGGUCCAGCCUGCAGACACACCAUUCCCAUGAGGCACUGCGGCCCAGGGACUGGUGCGGAAAGGGCCCACAGUGGACUUGGUACACUGUAUGCCCUAACCGCUCAGUCCCUGGGUCUGGCAUGACAGACAGAACAUUUCCAGGGGAGUCAAGGGCACAGGAUGAAGCCAGACGAGGCGAGGCAGGCGGGGCAGAAUGAAUGAG
rnacentral:lncRNA from 1 species